UGCGGGGGGAGGAGCAGAGGGGGAGGGACAUGCAGAUGCGGUGCUGAGCGCAGAGACGGCGAGGGAGGGGGGAGCAGGGCUCCAUCUCAUGACCCUGAGAUCAUGACCUGAGUCGGAUGCCUAACCGACUGAGCCACCCAGGCGCUCCAAUGAAUGGUUAACUGUAAAAGAAACUGCCAAACUGUUUUCCAAAGUGGCUCUACCAUUCUGCAUUCCACCUAACAAUGUGUGAGUUCUGGUUGCUUUGUAUCCUUACCAGUCCUUGAUAUCAUUUUAUUUAAGCUAUUCUGAUAGUUACAUCGUGAUAAGUCGUUUUUAAUGACAGUAGUAAGAAUAGUAAUAACAGCAGCCAUAGUAGUUACAGUAGUAGUAGUUGUAGCUCUCACUUACAUGGUAUUUGCUCUGAGCCAAGGACUCUUUUAAGUUCUUUUAAUGUAUUGUGUGUAAUUCUCAAAACAACUCAUGAGUAAGGUACUUUUAUUAUUGUCUGGAUUUUAUAGAGAUAGGGAAACUGAGACACUGCCCAAGGUCACACAGAUAAUAAAUGGCAGAGCUAGAAUUUACUUAAGCCCAGGCAGUCUGCCAUGUUCUUAACUUUAUAUUGUCUCUUACUGGACUAAACUGCCUCUCAUUCUAAAAAAAAAAAAAAAAAAAUUAGAAAAUGAAAUUAUAAAAAAAAGUUGAAAGUAAUUUAAAAUCAGGCUAUUCAGAGAUAUAUACUACUAACAUUUUAGUGUAUUCCUUUCAGGUUUUCUUUUUAACAUUAUAUUGAGUUCAUAUGUAUGUGUAUAAGAGCAUAUUUACAAAGUUGGUAUCAUAUACUGUCUCCUGAUUUUUUCACUUAACUUUCCUUGUAAUUGUUUUCUUAUAUCAUUAAAUAUGCUUUGAAAGUAAAGUUUUUGACAUUUGAAUAGUAUGUCAUCAUUUGGAUAUGCUUUACUAUAUUAUCUUCCUUGUUAGAGGUUUUAUUAGAUUGUUAAUUUACUGCUAAUAUUGAAUGCCUAAUAAUAGAUUGUAAGUCUGUGUUAAAGUGUAUGUUUGUUGAUAGGUAUAGUUUCCGCCCUCAAGAAACUCACAGUCUGGUUUGGAGAUAGGUAAAUAAAAAACAGUUACUUUUAGAGUGUUAAUUUCUAUGGUAACAGGGAAAGAUGCCCCGAAGUGGAGGAACGAAGGAAGACAGUCCAUGAUGAUGGAGCAGUGUGGGCUGAGAGAUAGGAAUUGUGUCCUGUUGACAGUAAAUAGUAUGAAAAAUGAGGUCAAAAGAAUGACUCACCUCAUUAUAAAUCACCCGAGGUAAUGGAAAAUGAUUUGAAGGAUGACCGAGCUGUGUUCCAUCUGUUGAGAAUCACUUCGCCCGUUGGAGAGCUCCUGCAGCACACAGACUCAAGAUUAUCAAAUUCCAGGACAUUAUAGCAAAAAGAACAUUAGAGGACAACAUCUGAUCCACAUCUGUCACUUUACAAAUGAGAAUCUGAGGUCUAGAAAGAAGCUAAAAGAAUGCUAUAAGAUGGAACAGAAAUAAAAUAUAAAAAAUAAAAUAUAAUGAAAUGUUUUAUUUAUAAGACUAAUGAUCCAAUUUCUGCUUGAUAUUUUUUUCUAUCUGUGAAAGAUAAUUUUGGGAAAAAGUAAAAUAUUCUCUAAAUUCUUUUAAGAACUAUGAUACUGUGUAGUAAUUAAUCUGAGUUAAAGUAUUGUUUUCACAUUUAAUUUAGUCAUCUCUAUAUUUAUUGCUAAGUAACAUCAUAGCAUUAAAGCAAAAUUAUAUAAAAGAAAAAACCAGCUCGUUAGUACAAAUAAUAACCUAACACAUGGACUGUUUUCAUUUUUCUUUGUUCUUUCCCAGGCUAUGUUAAUUUUUACAAAUGUUUUAACAUGGUAGAAAUCACAGUGUGUCAUGAUUAUAGCAGGUACUGUUUACUGAGUGCCCGCUGUGUACCAAGUGUUGCACCAUGCAUUUUCUUUUAAAAUUAUUUUUACAUCAACAGCUCUACCAAGUGAGUGGUAUUAUUUCAUUUAAUAAUAAGGAAGUAGAAUCAGAGAAGGUAAUUUGCCCUUACCUAGGUCUCAUUGAAUCUAGGUCUGUCUGACUCAGAAGCUUCAAGUUUCCUGCCUAGGUUUUACUGCUUUGCUUUUCUUUUUAAAAAAGAUUUUGUUUAUUUGAGGGACAGAGAAAGAGAGAAUGUGCGCAUGCGCGCACAUGAGCAGGAGGAGGGGCAGAGGAAUCAGCAGAGUCCCGUCUGAGUGCGGAGCCCACCGCAGGGGUCUGUCGCAGGACUUUGAGAUCACGCCCUCAGCCCAAGUCAGAGGCUUUAACUGGCCUAGCCGCCUAGGCACCCCAUGCUGCUUUUCUGACAUCCUGGUUCACCUCUCCUUUUAGAACUUCUAUUUGUUUGUUUAUUGUUUUAAAGUAGGCUUUAUGCCCAACAUGGGGUUUGAACUCACCCCAAAAUUAAGAGGCACAUGUUCCACCAACUGAGCCAGCCAGGUACCCCUAGACCUUCUUUUUACUUUUAAAAGGCCUCUUAGAUCUCUUAGAUGCAUACCAUUUUGGGGCGAGGGGGGAGAUUUCCUUUUUUUGCAUUCUGAUGCUCCUUUGAUUUUUACAUUGUCAGAAUUCUGUAUCUACUCUGAGAUGAUGAAUGGUUUCCCUACCUCUUUUGUGUGGCAUGUGCAGAAAAUGACAUUAUUUGGAUGGCACACUUGGGAGACUUGGGAGUUUUGUAUAAAAAUUCAUUGUAUUUUCCUAAUAUACUGUGAUAAAAUCUAUUAAAAAUCAGACUUUGGCUAAUUGUUAGCAUUAAAAUCUAUUAAUAAUAAACAGGGGUGCCUGGUUGGCUCAGUUGGUGGAGCAUGUGAUUCUUGAUCUUGGGGUUGUAAGUUCCAGCUCCACUUGGGUGUAGAGAAUACUU